ensembl:lncRNA
UGCCCAGAGAAGUGGAGGAGUCCCCAUCAUGGAGGUGUCUGAUUCAGCACCUGGUGGUGAUUUGAUACCUCCAGAUGUGAAGAUAACAUUCCAGUUCUUCUGACAAACUGCCAGCCUCUUUCUUUGUUGCUAAUGUUCCCUCAGCAACUCAACUCUACUGCCAAAGCUCAAAAGAUCUGCCAUAAUACUGGCCAAACUGAGGAAGUGUUUUAGAAAGUUUAUUUAGGAAAAUGGCCAGCUUUUCCAUGAGACUUAUGACUACAUUCUGUAGAAACUCUGAUGCUCCCACUUCAUGGAGACCAACAGCAAUUUCAUCCAGACCUGGCGUCCAGCAGGAAUCAGCACAGGGAGUGGGAAAGAAAGAAAUCUGCUGGAACUUUUGAAACUUCAGCUCUCUGCAGCUGGCAGAAACAUUCUCAAGGGCCUCCAAAUGCCAGCAAAUCCCAGAGCAAACACAUUUCCUCCAGCCUUUUUCAGGGUCUGGCAUGACAGAAAACUGGUCCAGGACCAGCAGUAGCAGCCACAGCAAGAAUGAGUAUCCUUACACCUCUGCAGCCACAACCACAGCACAGGAGGAGGCUCACGCAGUGCUCGGAUUGAGUGGCCCAGCUAACCUAUCACCUUUCUUGGAUGCUAUGUCAAAACCUACCAGAGAAAACCCAGUUCUUGACUUUGGAGAAUGCAUUUCCAGGGAAUACGAAUUUUCUCAUUUCCAGAGAACAUGAAUUUUCCCAGUUGUUACUCUGAGUUAAGAAAGACAGCCACGUUAUCUGACUAUUCUGGUAAUAUUCCUCACAGUCUGUUUUCAGAAAGUGCUUUAGUACUUUAGAAGAAAAGGCUAGAAACCACCACAACAACAAAAAAAAAUCAUAUAAUUAGAAACUCUAGUAUUGGAAAUAAUUGCUCUUCUUCAUUACACUAUAAAACAGAGAUGUUCGCCUUUACAUGAAUUUCCAGUUACCUCUGCUUUUCUUUCUUCGACAUGCUGUCCUCGUAAUAUUUUUAUAGGAUGUGACAAAGAAACUAUUCCAAUAAAGCUUUUCUUUCU